ensembl:snRNA U2 U2 spliceosomal RNA
AUCUCUUCUCGGCCUUUUGGCUAAGAUCAAGUGUGAUAUGAUAUGACAUUCACACAAUUUUUAUACUCAGUAUAUAUGCAUACACACACACAAAUACACAUAUAAUAAACACUUUCCUUGGCAUAUCCAUA